rnacentral:rRNA from 1 species
GACGAACGCUGGCGGCGUGCUUAACACAUGCAAGUCGAACGCUGAACCCGCUUCGGUGGGGGAUGAGUGGCGAACGGGUGAGUAACACGUGGGCAACCUGCCCCCGGCUCUGGGAUAACUCCAAGAAAUUGGGGCUAAUACCGGAUGUGACCGCUGGCCGCAUGGUCUGGUGGUGGAAAGGGUUUCCGGCUGGGGAUGGGCCCGCGGCCUAUCAGCUUGUUGGCGGGGUAGUGGCCUACCAAGGCGACGACGGGUAGCCGGCCUGAGAGGGUGACCGGCCACACUGGGACUGAGACACGGCCCAGACUCCUACGGGAGGCAGCAGUGGGGAAUAUUGCGCAAUGGGCGGAAGCCUGACGCAGCGACGCCGCGUGGGGGAUGACGGCCUUCGGGUUGUAAACCUCUUUCAGCAGGGACGAAGCGCAAGUGACGGUACCUGCAGAAGAAGCACCGGCCAACUACGUG